rnacentral:lncRNA from 1 species
AUCACAAGUCAUUAAACAAAGAUAUGUGUGAGACUAUCGCUAAAUAACGAACGACCAAUGCGUUUGAAGAUGAGGAUUUGCAGCAAACAAAUAGAACUUAUUGAUUUAGAAGAUAAUAAAAAAAAUAGCCGAAUCUAUGUUUACUUUUCGUAUUCCAUCCAUCAUUUUUAAACACGCCGAACAUGCGCAGAUUUAUUUUCAUAUCUGAAUAUAACAUUCAACUGAAAAAAA